CCUUUUCUUUGCCAUCUUUCUCUUUCUCAGGCAGCAAGACUAACAAGUGAACCACAAAAUCCAUUUGGGUGUUUUGGCCUUCCUGCUCAUAAACUUUGACAGUGAAAUUAGCACAUGAAGAGAUAUCAUGAUCGUUAUCAUCUAUCGAUAGUUCGAAAGUCGCUGCUUAUGCAUUGUGGAGAAAGUUGGGCUUUUUCCUCUUCAACAUUGCUGCAAUACUCUAAGAUAUGGCGUGGAAGAUAUUUGGCAAUGGAUGGACUAAAAUUGUAAGAGUUGUUUUAGGCAGGUAACGGGAAUUAAUUCAUGGUAAAUGAUCUACUUAUUUAGUGUUUUAAUAUUUGCCUUGCGUUAAUGCCUAGAUGUUUGAACAUCCAUUUAAGCCAUUGGCAAUUUGCGAUUGAUUAAGCAAAAUCUAUGCAAGCUUAAAAAAAUAUGUUUGCAACUCCUGUUUUUAAGUGCCAUGAGUCUCUAAUUAUUGAUUCUGUCUAACCGUAUAGAAAAAAGGAACUAAUAAAAUAGCUAUAUUUGCAUUACCAGAUUGCUAUAAGUAAGAGUACCAUGCUAGAGAAGUCAAUGGAAUUCCUUCCCUAAGAUACUUGCAUCUUGUGUCUUACAUGUAUAUUAUAGUAUAACUCAUCCAAGAAUAGUCUACUUCUAUGCUGGGGAACAUUUAUGAUACUUGGAGAUUACUUUUGAUGUCAUUUUCUGAAGAUAACAUAAUACAACAGCUUUUUGCUGAUAUUUGUCACUCUCAGGUGCUCCAAGAGAGCUCUAACAUUUAUUUUUGCAGUAAAUUAUGGGAUUGUAUUAUUGUACCUUUUAGGUUGAUUAAUGGAAUUUUCAGAAGAUAACAUAAUAUUGCUUUUUGCUGAUAUUUGUCACUCUCAGGUGCUCCAAGAGAGCUCUAACAUUUAUUUUUGCAGUGAAUUAUGGGAUUGUAUUAUUGUACCUUUUAGGUUGAUUAAUGGAUGCUUCUUACUCUUUUGACCGUUGAAUCUUUUUUUGAAAUUCCAUAAGUUUUUUGAGAUGCCUA